rnacentral:rRNA from 1 species
UACGAAGGGUGCAAGCGUUACUCGGAAUCACUGGGCGUAAAGCGUGCGUAGGCGGUUCGUUAAGUCUGCUGUGAAAGCCCUGGGCUCAACCUGGGAACUGCAGUGGAUACUGGCGGACUAGAGUGUGAUAGAGGAUGGUGGAAUUCCCGGUGUAGCGGUGAAAUGCGUAGAUAUCUGGAGGAACACCGGUGGCGAAGGCGGCAUCCUGGACCAAUUCUGACGCUGAGGAGCGAAAGCCAGGGGAGCAAAGCGGG